UACGUAGGGUGCGAGCGUUGUCCGGAAUUAUUGGGCGUAAAGAGCUCGUAGGCGGCUUGUCGCGUCGGUUGUGAAAGCCCGGGGCUUAACCCCGGGUCUGCAGUCGAUACGGGCAGGCUAGAGUGUGGUAGGGGAGAUCGGAAUUCCUGGUGUAGCGGUGAAAUGCGCAGAUAUCAGGAGGAACACCGGUGGCGAAGGCGGAUCUCUGGGCCAUUACUGACGCUGAGGAGCGAAAGCGUGGGGAGCAAACAGG
rnacentral:rRNA from 1 species